GUUAAGCGACUAAGCGUACACGGUGGAUGCCCUGGCAGUCAGAGGCGAUGAAGGACGUGCUAAUCUGCGAUAAGCGUCGGUGAGGUGAUAUGAACCGUUAUAACCGGCGAUUUCCGAAUGGGGAAACCCAGUGUGUUUCGACACACUAUCAUUAACUGAAUCCAUAGGUUAAUGAGGCGAACCGGGGGAACUGAAACAUCUAAGUACCCCGAGGAAAAGAAAUCAACCGAGAUUCCCCCAGUAGCGGCGAGCGAACGGGGAGGAGCCCAGAGCCUGAAUCAGUGUGUGUGUUAGUGGAAGCGUCUGGAAAGGCGUGCGAUACAGGGUGACAGCCCCGUACACAAAAAUGCACAUAUUGUGAGCUCGAUGAGUAGGGCGGGACACGUGGUAUCCUGUCUGAAUAUGGGGGGACCAUCCUCCAAGGCUAAAUACUCCUGACUGACCGAUAGUGAACCAGUACCGUGAGGGAAAGGCGAAAAGAACCCCGGCGAGGGGAGUGAAAAAGAACCUGAAACCGUGUACGUACAAGCAGUGGGAGCCUCUUAAUG
rnacentral:rRNA from 1 species